UUCCAUCAUUAAUUUGAUAACGAUAACCAAUCGAUCGAUCAAUCAAUCAAUCAAUUAAUCAAUGAUGGCUCGUGGUUUCCGUAGCUGGAAUCCUGAUUGUAAAGUAUAUGUUGGUAAUCUUCAAGAUAAUUGUCUGAAAACUGAUGUUGAAAAUGCAUUUUCAAAAUUUGGACCAUUAAAAAAUGUUUGGGUUGCUAGAAAUCCACCUGGUUUUGCAUUUGUUGAAUUUGAAGAUAGUCGUGAUGCUGAAGAUUCGGUUCGUGCAUUAGAUGGAACUCGAAUUGGUGGUAAUCGAGUUCGUGUUGAAAUGUCUCAUGGACGUAGUCGAAGAGGUGGCGGUGGUCGCCGUUUUGGUGGUGGCCCUGGACCAGGUUUUGAUCGCGGCGGUGGUGGUGGUGGUGUUGAUCGCUAUGGUGGACCAAGUAUUCGAAACAAUAGACGUGAUUUUAGACGACGAAGUAUUUCACGAUCUCGUUCAAGGUGAUAUCACCUAAUAUUACCCUUCUACUACUACUACUUGCAUCUAUUACUACCUACACAUCAGUAUUCUCCUUGAUUAUUGUUGAACUACGGUAUUUAACUGAAAAUGAAAUAAAAUAAUGAUGCGGACAACGGUCAGCCGCCGAUGACCGCCAGUUUUUUCGUCAGCAUGCAUCUUUAUAUCCUAUUCAUCGCAUCGAUGUGUGUGCGUGGGAUAAUAUCUAUUCUUUCUGAAUAGGAUUCCCUUCGAUCCGUAUGAUAAUAAUAUUCGGUUCGUCUUUCUAUCAUCAUCAUUGUUAUUGUUGUUUUUUUAAAAAUGCAUCGUAUUUUUCUUCGAAAAAAACAUUAAGUCACCACCAAGACGACGAUAUUCAAGCCGUACACCAAGCCGAUCUCGUUCACGUUCACGUUCAACAUCACGUAAUCGGCCAAGAACUCCACCAUCUCGUUCACCAUCACGUGAAAGACGAUAAAUGAUGAUCUUUG
rnacentral:misc_RNA from 1 species